rnacentral:sRNA from 1 species
GCCUAGCCCUGAUAGCAGUGGAAAUCCUUUAUUGUUUUUUUUUUGAAAAACAAUAAAGAUUGAAACGAAUAGCAGGAUUAAGC